AGAAUCAACGCUGGCGGCGUGCCUAACACAUGCAAGUCGCACGAGAAACGGAUUUCGGUCCUGAGUACAGUGGCGCACGGGUGAGUAACACGUGAAUCAUCUACCUUCGAGUGGGGAAAUAACUGAGAGAAAUCUUAGCUAAUACCGCAUAAUACCCACGGGUCAAAGCAGCAAUGCGCUUGAAGAGGAGUUCGCGGCAGAUUAGUUAGUUGGCGGGGUAAUGGCCCACCAAGACGAUGAUCUGUA
rnacentral:rRNA from 1 species